CCUACGGGCGGCAGCAGUCGAGAAUCAUUCACAAUGGGGGAAACCCUGAUGGUGCGACGCCGCGUGGGGGAAUGAAGGUCUUCGGAUUGUAAACCCCUGUCAUGUGGGAGCAAAUUAAAAAGAUAGUACCACAAGAGGAAGAGACGGCUAACUCUGUGCCAGCAGCCGCGGUAAUACAGAGGUCUCAAGCGUUGUUCGGAAUCACUGGGCGUAAAGGGUGGGUAGGCUGUUUCGUAAGUCGUGUGUGAAAGGCGCGGGCUCAACCCGCGGACGGCAUAUGAUACUGCGAGACUAGAGUAAUGGAGAGGCAACCGGAAUUCUCGGUGUAGCAGUGAAAUGCGUAGAUAUCGGGAGGAACACUAGUGGCGAAGGCGGGUUCCUGGACAUUAACUGACGCUGAGGCACGAAGGCCAGGGGAGCGAAAGGGAUUAGAUACCCGGGUAGUC
rnacentral:rRNA from 1 species